AGAUGGAGCGCAGGUGACGGGAAGAAUAGGGUGCAUUAACGCAUAUAAUCCAUACAUAACGUAUGUUUGACCUGAUGCCGUUUGAUAUAAAAGGGGUUACAAAGAGGAAAACCGCUCUCUUUCGCUUGUGAUCCCUGACCGAUUCGUAGUGCGCGCGUGUGUAGAAUAUUUCCGGAGUUUGAGGUUAACUUUGACUACCUCAUUAAAUUGUGGAGAUUUUAAAACUCAGUGUUUCUUUUCUAGAAUAGGCUAAAUCGUCAUUGGUAGUGACUAAAUCAAAAUUAGUAGUAAUCGACCCUAAAAGUUAAAAUAAUGUUAUAGUCAGUGCGACAAACCUAACCUAAAAGUGGACAGAGCGUUCCUAAUACUAGCUACAAGAAAAAGUGUGCUUAGGCCCGAGAAGUGGGCCUUUUUCUUUUAUUCGGCAGUGAAGCUCUACGAGUGGUCCACAAAGGGCCAAAUCUCCAACCCUUCAUCGGCGCACCACGGUCAGAAGGAAGCGAAAGCGACGGCUGACUACGUUUCCGGGAACUCUCCAGAAUGUGUUCAGAGACAGGAAGCGUGUCACCAUUCCGUCGGGCGAAGACAAUCAUUAUCGUCUGGAUACCGACAAAACCGGGUAAGCCGAGCCGGCUACGGCGACGCCAUCUUUCCGACGCCAACGGCAAAGCGAAUCCCUACAUCUAUGGCUGGCCAAAGCGAAUACGGACUGCAUCGACGCCUUGUUUCAGCAACCCGCCGUUCAAAGCAAACCAGUUUGGUCCGGCGCCGGCUCUUCGUUUCCGGUGUCAUCUGCCAGCCAAAGCAAAAUGUUCCCGUCAUCAGAGCUAUCGCUACAGAACCGUCCGCUGGUUGAAGCCCCGGCUUCCUGAAGAGUCAAGAAACACCUCAAGCACAAUCAGAACAAUAUGCGCAAGUACCCCUAAUAACUGUGACGUCAUAAAUAAAUUUUGUACCUAUUAGUUAAGCCAAACAAGUCUCUGUGAUAGUUUAUUUAAAGUGAGUAGCCCUGAACC